AAUACCGCAUACGUCCUACGGGAGAAAGCAGGGGACCUUCGGGCCUUGCGCUAUCAGAUGAGCCUAGGUCGGAUUAGCUAGUUGGUGGGGUAAUGGCUCACCAAGGCGACGAUCCGUAACUGGUCUGAGAGGAUGAUCAGUCACACUGGAACUGAGACACGGUCCAGACUCCUACGGGAGGCAGCAGUGGGGAAUAUUGGACAAUGGGCGAAAGCCUGAUCCAAACGUGCCGCGUGUGUGAAGAAGGUCUUCGGA
rnacentral:rRNA from 1 species